AUCUCUUGGUUCUGGCAUCGAUGAAGAACGCAGCGAAAUGCGAUAAGUAAUGUGAAUUGCAGAAUUCAGUGAAUCAUCGAAUCUUUGAACGCACAUUGCGCCCCAUGGUAAUCCGUGGAGCAUGCCUGUUCGAGCGUCAUU
rnacentral:rRNA from 1 species